CUUGCGGAGGUAGAGCACUGAAUAUCCUAGGGGGCGUCAAAGCUUACCGAAGAUUAUCAAACUCCGAAUGCCGUAAAGAUGAUGUAUGGGAGUCAGACUGCACGAGAUAAGUUGGGUAGUCAAAAGGGAAAGAGCCCAGACCUACAGCUAAGGUCCCAAAGUACGUGUUAAGUGGAAAAGGAUGUGGGAUUUCGAAGACAACUAGGAUGUUGGCUCAGAAGCAGCCAUACAUUCAAAGAGUGCGUAAUAGCUCACUAGUCGAGAGGUCCUGCGCCGAAAAUGUCCGGGGCUGAAACACGACACCGAAGCUUAGGAAUCGAAAGAUUGGUAGAGGAGCAUUGAAUACGGAACGAAGCAGUACCGGAAGGAGCUGUGGACUGUAUUGAAGAGAGAAUGCCGGAAUGAGUAGCGAGAUUUAAGUGAGAAUCUUAAAGGCCGAAUAUCUAAGGUUUCCAGGGUAAAGCUGAUCUUCCCUGGGUAAGUCGGGGCCUAAGGCGAGGACGAAAGUCGUAGUCGAUGGAUAACAGGUUGAAAUUCCUGUACCGCAUAUAUUCAGAAAUGUGGGGACACAGAUGGAGAGUACAGCCCGGGAAUGGAUAGACCGGGGCAAGCGAGGUAGGAGAAUGGCAGGCAAAUCCACCAUUCAAUCUGAAGACGUGACGCGUACCGAACAAGAGUAGGGAAGUGUAUGAGCCAGCUGUCGAGAAAAGCCGCUAUUGUGAUAUAUGCGCCCGUACCGUAAACCGACACAGGUGGAUGAGGAGAGAAUCCUAAGGCCGGCGGGAGAAGUGUUGUUAAGGAACUCGGCAAAAUGACCCCGUAACUUCGGGAGAAGGGGUGCCUCGGAAGAGGCCGCAGAGAAAUGGCCCAAGCAACUGUUUAGCAAAAACAUAGGUCUAUGCAAAACCGAAAGGUGAGGUAUAUGGGCUGACGCCUGCCCGGUGCUGGAAGGUUAAGAGGAGAGCUUAGCGCAAGCGAAGGUUUGAAUUUAAGCCCCAGUAAACGGCGGCCGUAACUAUAACGGUCCUAAGGUAGCGAAAUUCCUUGUCGGGUAAGUUCCGACCCGCACGAAAGGCGUAAUGAUUUGGGCACUGUCUCAACAACACACCCGGUGAAAUUGAAAUACCAGUGAAGAUGCUGGUUACCUGCGCCAGGACGGAAAGACCCCAUGGAGCUUUACUCCAGCUUGAUACUGGGAUUCGGUACUACCUGUACAGGAUAGGUGGGAGGCUAUGAUCACGGGACGCCAGUUUCGUGUGAGCCGCUGUUGGGAUACCACCCUUGUAGUACUGGAUUCCUAACCUACAGCCGUGAACCGGCUGGGGGACAAUGUCUGGCGGGGAGUUUGACUGGGGCGGUCGCC
rnacentral:rRNA from 1 species